rnacentral:rRNA from 1 species
GAUGAACGCUAGCUCCAGGCCUAACACAUGCAAGUCGAGCGACCGGCGCACGGGUGAGUCACACGUAUCCAACCUGCCCUAUACUCGGGGAUAGCCUUUAGAAAGACAGAUUAAUACCCAAUAUACAGGAGGGGGAUGCGUUCCAUGAGGUUGUUGGUGAGGUAAUGGCUCACCAAGACUUCGACGGAUAGGGGUACUGAUCGUAGGGUCCCCUAGAUUGGAACUGGGACACAGACCAAACUCCGACGGGAGGCAGCAGUGCGUAAUCGUGGGCAAUGGGCGCUAGCCUGAAACAGCCAAGUAGCGAGUAGGAUGAAUGCGUAUUGGUCGUAUACUUCUUUGAUAGAAGAAUAGGUAUUUAAUAAAUAAGGAGCGGCUAACUCCGUGCCAGCAGCCGCGGUAAUUC